rnacentral:rRNA from 1 species
UAGGGAAUAUUGGGCAAUGGCCGGAAGGCUGACCCAGCCAUGCCGCGUGCAGGAAGACGGCCUUCUGGGUUGUAAACUGCUUUUAUACGGGAAGAAAAGGCCCAUGCGUGGGAAAUUGCCGGUACCGUAUGAAUAAGCACCGGCUAACUCCGUGCCAGCAGCCGCGGUAAUACGGAGGGUGCGAGCGUUGUCCGGAUUUAUUGGGUUUAAAGGGUGCGUAGGCGGCCGUUUAAGUCAGCGGUGAAAGACU